AACGUAGGAGACAAACGUUAUCCGGAUUUACUGGGCGUAAAGGGCGUGUAGGUGGUUUCGUAAGUCUGGCGUGAAAUUUUUCGGCUUAACCGGGAAAGGUCGUCGGAUACUGCGGAACUAGAGGACGGUAGAGGCGUGUGGAAUUCCGGGUGUAGUGGUGAAAUGCGUAGAGAUCCGGAGGAACACCAGUGGCGAAGGCGACACGCUGGGCCGUACCUGACACUGAUGCGCGACAGCAUGGGGAGCAAACAGG
rnacentral:rRNA from 1 species